rnacentral:rRNA from 1 species
UACGUAGGGAGCAAGCGUUGUUCGGAUUUACUGGGCGUAAAGGGCGCGUAGGCGGCGCGACAAGUCACUUGUGAAAUCUCCGGGCUUAACUCGGAACGGUCAAGUGAAACUGUCAUGCUAGAGUGCAGAAGGGGCAAUCGGAAUUCUUGGUGUAGCGGUGAAAUGCGUAGAUAUCAAGAGGAACACCUGAGGUGAAGACGGGUUGCUGGGCUGACACUGACGCUGAGACGCGAAAGCGUGGGGAGCGAACAGG